rnacentral:lncRNA from 1 species
GGAUUUGAACUGGAGAUCAGGAACGAGCUCUCGGGUCGGUACAGGAGGCUUGUGUACAAAUGCUGGUCCCGCGACAACGAUCUAGGGUGGCGACAAGACUGGCCAGAUCAACAGAAGGACUGGUCCUUCGCUAUGUCGCUAUUCCACACCUUUUUUCACUGCAACUUCCAUACAGGAUACGGACGUGUGGACAAGCAGCUAGUUGUGUCGUGGGAGAUGAAAGAGCAGUGUGGGGACAGGGACAAAUGCACUUGGGUCGUUAAGAAGGAUGGACUCUACUUGAGACAGUGGAAGACCAAAUUUUUUAGUAACAAGUACGGUAACGAGAGGUGGAAUGAGUAUGUUCAACAUGAUGUCCUCCAGAAAGCUUGGAGCUAAAUUAACAAUUUCACGAUGUUGAUCUGUAUGAAGAUCGUAACAAUGUCGUGAUUUUCGUCUCUGUAUGUUGUUAUUCGUGUUAAUAAAACCAAAAAUAUAAUGUGUAAAUUUAUAAAUGGUGAAAAUGAGAAAAAAAAAACGUAUCUAUGAUUAUGUUUUGUUGUUUACUGUUAAUAGAUUUUAUAGCUGGAUACCGUACAUUAUCAAUGAAUACAGUUUCUGCAAGAUAAUCAUCAAAGAAGCUAAUCGCCAUUAGGUGGAAUUGAUACAAUAUACUCUAGUAAUAAUGUUUUAACACUAGACUAAUAUAAUGAACUUCAUUUUUAAUAUAUUUUAAAGGUGAAAACUUGGUCAAUGUUCUGGAUGGUUAAAAAUUGCAAAACUAUGCGAUAAAAUGAUAUCAUUCAUUCAUUCAAACGUAACGUUCUAAAUUUUCAACCUGUGAUAAAAAAAAAAAUCUCUAAGAGGAUGAUGACGAUGAUCGAAGUUUCUGAAACAGUACAUUUUAUUUUUCAACCUUUGGGAUUUGCUCUGUUUUUUUUUUAUCACAAACUUACUUUCAUUCAUACUCAAACUUCAUCACUACAAUAGAUAGAGAGAAUUAUCUAUCCUCUUUGGCCAUAAACAUAGCAUACAACACAUAAAUAAACUAAGCAAGAUAGGUCUUCAAUCGAAGAUGACAGCGAAUUCAAGACGGUGCUUGAAUGCGUCGAGGGAACCUUCACGACAAAGUCGAACAACGGAUGAAUAGUCACAUAGUGUGACGUUAAGGUCCAGACCUCAUCAACGAGAAAAAUCGAAGUAAUCUCGUUUGCAUCUUCAGGUCCCGUGGAGACCGCUACGCAAGAUAACAAAACGUUGAGGAAACUGAAGCAGACGCUGAGCAACGAGACCGAGGAAACUCCUCUUUCUAUGGAAAGAAGAUAUGGUGGUAACAGUUUCUCCUCAAAGGAGGAGAAUGAUCGAAUGAGGACCGAACCCGGUAAACCCUCUGGUAACUUUUUCCAACAGGAAAGGUAUAAGCUUGUACUACGCGGAGGAGGGAAUCCCGUAAAUCCACCAGAAUUCUCUGCGUAACUGACCCAAUCACCGAACGACAUAACAUGUCGAAUCAAAUUUUCUUCUACAGAUUUGGGUCCUUGCAGGUAAAUUGUUGGGCUAACAGGUUCAAAUCUACAGAUGGGCCAAGCCCAAAUAUAAAAAGAUAUCACCUCGAUAAGUGCUGUCAGCAUGGGCCGGAUUACAAAGGAUUUGGGCCGUUCGUCGGUGCCAUGAAAGAGGUCGCCGGUAGAGCUUCGCCGGAGCGGAAGCGAACCGCCGUCUAGGAGAAAUCAUGCCUUUUGAGUGUUUAGCACAUGUGCACUGCCUCUGUUUACGUUUAGAAUUUGUCAAAAUGUCUAUAUUGAUCUACAGUUUGGAUAAUGAAGGAUAAUUAAAUCUCGUUUGGCAAUCUAAAUGACCUCAUCCUUUAUUGAUAGCUUGAUUAUUUAAAAUUCGGAUACACAUACCUAAAUAAUUUGAUAUUAUUGUUCUCUAAACCUAGGAUAAUUUUGUUAUUUUCAAUGUUAAGAUUUUUAGGUUUUACCCUAAUAACUACUUCCUUUAACGUCCGAUGGUACAAGCUCUAGCGCCACUAACAUAGAUGUGUACAAUAUGUAUCAUGUAUGUAUCACUAGGAAAUAUUGUUAGAAGUUAUAACAAAAAUGUAGUUUUCGUUUUUAACGUGUGGUGUAACAAAUCAAUUGGUAUCACUAAUUACUACAUUGUUGUAUUUUUAUUAUCCAACAAUAGACACUGGAUUGGUUAUCUCGUUAGUAGCUACAAAACCAAUUUUCUUCCAUAACUUUUCGUAUCCUUUCGUAAAUAUAUAAAAGCAAAAGAAAACGAAAGUGUCAUAAAGUAAAAAGAAAAACAAUAAGAAUUCAGAACUUGAGUAACUUUAUAAGAAAAUAGGAAAAAAAAUGAGAGGAGACUAUAGCAUUGCCAAGAACGGUAUAGUCUGGUGCUUUGUGUUACAAGUCAUCAUAUUCUAUGUAGAAUCGAUAGAAGUUGGAGAUGUGAGUUUCACGAUAGCGAUGAAAAACGAAAUGUACGGCUUAAAACGUCCAUCAGUUGUCUACCGGUGUAAGUCAUCUGAAAAAUCCCUCCGGUGGCACAGAUCGCGUCCCAAAACGCAAUUUUCAUGGGAUUUUGAUGUACCGCCGUUUGGAAACGGCGUGGUGAUUCACAUAUGCCAUUUCCUGUCAAGCCAAGGGACAGCGCAUGUCGAGAUCAGGACGUUGUCGAUGACAUCUAUGUUGUGCGGAGGACAUGUGUGUAAAUACGUCAUCAAGCCGAACGGUAUAUAUUUCGUUGGUUUUGAGACGUACUAUCCGCACAACAUUUUGUUAAGGUUUCUAGAGUUGGUGAGGCCUGUUGAAAAGCUUGUCGAGCCAUGGAAGGCGUGGUCUCCGAGGCAGUUAAAAGCUUUGAGAGCGGAACGCAAUCGCACCAUGUCAAGCGAUGACAAAGAUUAUGAUGAUGACGACAAGGAAAAGGACGAUUAGGUAUAGAACACAAGAAAGAGACAGAAGAAAUGAUGAAGAAUAUAGUAGUUUAUGUUCUUUCUGUGAUAUGUACCAAAAUGGUAUGUACAUGUACUUUUGUAUCUUAAUAUGUCGACCAAAAAUAAGAAAAUUCUUUAUUUUUAACAUAAUUUGGCUCUACAAUCUGACUUGUCGUUGUGUUAAGGAAACCUCUCUAUUUGUGUUCAAUAAUUAAUAUGUUUCUUCUAUAAUAUUGGAUGAUCAUAACAACUUUGAUGUGUGGAUGACACCCACAAUAUCACACAAAUACUUACGAGUGUGGGAAGCCAGAUAAUCUGGAACAAAAUGCAUAUUCUACAUUAUAUUACUAUUCUAGUUACAAACGAAUGUUUUUGUAGGAGACAAUAUUAAUUUUUAUAAAAGGCAAAUGUUGUCGACAAUCGAUUAUUUAAAAACAGGAAAAACAAAAGGCAAACAAAUGGGUUAGCUUCAUAUUGCAAAUACAAAUAGUCAAAUAGCUUGCAAAACAUUUAUAUUUUUGCUGAUGAAUAUAUUUGACAUUCCAAAUAAUAAAAUACAAAAUACCCGACUAGAAACAUCAAAACCAUGUUAUAAGACAACAGUAGUGCACUCUUAAUGUUUUAGGACAUUGGCAAGUGUCCUUUCCUGAGCCAAUUUUUACCGCCUCAUAACAACCACCACCAAGGUUUGCCGGAGGGAGGAGGAGGAGACUUUCUGUAGUAAAAGGCUCUGUAAGCUUGAGGAGAAGGAUUAGCUUUCAAAGGUGGAAUGAUCGGAGCGGGAGGAGGAGGAGAAUUUAUUGGAGCUGGAGGAGGAAGAGCAACAGGAGGGGGAUAAGCCGGAGUAGGAGGAGGAUAAGUAACCGGAGUAGGAGGAGGAGGAUUAACUGGGGGAGAAUAAACCGGAGUAGGAGAUGGAGGAGGAGAAUAUGCUGGCUGGUAGUUAGUGGGAGUUUGCAGGAGUUUUCUGCUGUUGUUGGCUUCAGAAUAUGUGAAUAAGAUUGCCAAGAUAAAAACUAAGGCGAAAGAAAGAUUUAGAGACACCAUUUUCAGGUUAAUGUUAAGAUCCUUAUACUUAACUAUGUUUAUAGGUUAUAUAUAGCCCAUCGAAGUCCACUUAGAGGAUUACCACUAACUGUGGGAUUUAUUCAAGAUCUAAGUUUUCAAGUAUAUAUUAGCCGGCCGGUUUUGCUGUUUGUUGAGGCCACCCUCUAAUUAGUAUGCUUGCUUCAUGCUUAAGCAGUGGUAUUAACUAUUGUUAUAUCUCAUUAUGAAUUAUCAAAUUUACAAAUUAUUUCGCUAGUUGCUUAUAUAAAUUAUGUUGACCUUUUUAAGACAUGUUGUAAAGUAUUUCUCUAGUUGCAAUAUUUCCAAUAUUUUUUCAUUGAAAGCAGAUUCCAAAUAGUUACUAUUAAAUCUUAUAAUUACAAGCUUAAAAAACCUGUUUUGCAAAUUUACUGAACAAACAAAAAAAGUAAUAAAAUGUGGAUGUAGGCUAAUGACUUGUUCCUCCCCCUUGACCCGCGGCAAUAGCUGAAUCCUUUAUAGGCGUUACAAUUUCUAAAAAUAGUAAUUUUUGUAGAAACACUAUCUAUGUCCCAAAAAUCAAAACAAAAAGAUCGAGUGGGCAAAUAAUAAAGAACAGAAACAGAGUUACACAUAUGGGGUCAAAAAAGAUCCCCCAAACCCUCAACGGGCACUUUUCUCUUGUACUUAUCAUCACCAUAAUGAUGGUGACUCACUCCCAUGGAUUUCAACUGGAGAUCAGGAACGAGCUCUCGGGUCGGUACAGGAGGCUUGUGUACAAAUGCUGGUCCCGCGACAACGAUCUAGGGUGGCGACAAGACUGGCCAGAUCAACAGAAGGACUGGUCCUUCGCUAUGUCGCUAUUCCACACCUUUUUUCACUGCAACUUCCAUACAGGAUACGGACGUGUGGACAAGCAGCUAGUUGUGUCGUGGGAGAUGAAAGAGCAGUGUGGGGACAGGGACAAAUGCACUUGGGUCGUUAAGAAGGAUGGACUCUACUUGAGACAGUGGAAGACCAA